GACGAACGCUGGCGGCAUGCCUAAUACAUGCAAGUCGAGCGAACAGAUGAAGUGCUUGCGCUUCUGACGUUAGCGGCGAACGGGUGAGUAACACGUAAGGAAUCUACCUAUAAGCGGGGGAUAACAUUCGGAAACGGGUGCUAAUACCGCAUAAUAUCUUCUUCCGCAUGGAAGAAGAUUGAAAGACGGCUCUGCUGUCACUUAUAGAUGACCUUGCGGUGCAUUAGUUAGUUGGUGGGGUAAUGGCCUACCAAGACGAUGAUGCAUAGCCGACCUGAGAGGGUGAUCGGCCACAUUGGGACGGAGACACGGCCCAAACUCCUACGGGAGGCAGCAGUAGGGAAUCUUCCGCAAUGGGCGAAAGCCUGACGGAGCAAUGCCGCGUGAGUGAAGAAGGCCUUCGGGUCGUAAAACUCCGUUAUAAGAGAAGAACAAAUUGUAGAGUAACUGCUACAGUCUUGACGGUAUCUUAUCAGAAAGCCACGGCUAACUACGUGCCAGCAGCCGCGGUAA
rnacentral:rRNA from 1 species